UACGGGGGGGGCAAGCGUUGUUCGGAAUUACUGGGCGUAAAGGGCGCGUAGGCGGUCCGCUAAGUUGAAUGUGAAAACUCUGGGCUUAACCCAGAGCCUGCAUUCAAUACUGGCGGGCUAGAGUUCUGGAGGGGAUAGCGGAAUUCCUGGUGUAGCGGUGAAAUGCGUAGAUAUCAGGAGGAACACCGGUGGCGAAGGCGGCUAUCUGGACAGAGUCUGACGCUGAUGCGCGAAAGCUAGGGGAGCAAACAGG
rnacentral:rRNA from 1 species